UUGGAGGGCAAGUYUGGUGCCAGCAGCCGCGGUAAUUCCAGCUCCAAUAGCGUAUAUUAAAGUUGUUGCAGUUAAAAAGCUCGUAGUUGAAUUUCGGGAUUGACGUGAUGGUCAUGCCUUAAGGGGUAUGAACUGUCACUGUUGAUUUCUCACCUUCUGGAGAAACUUGAUGUCCUUUAUUGGGUGUCUUGCGGAUCCAGGACCUUUACCUUGAAAAAAUUAGAGUGUUUAAAGCAGGCAUUUUUGCUCGAAUACAUUAGCAUGGAAUAAUAGAAUAGGACGACAUGGUUCUAUUUUGUUGGUUUCUAGGAUCACCGUAAUGAUUAAUAGGGAUAGUUGGGGGCAUUAGUAUUCAAUUGUCAGAGGUGAAAUUCUUGGAUUUAUUGAAGACUAACUACUGCGAAAGCAUUUGCCAAGGAUGGUUUCAUUAAUCAAGAACGAAAGUUAGGGGAUCGAAGACGAUCAGAUACCGUCGUAGUCUUAACCAUAAACUAUGCCGACUAGGAAUCAGACGAUGUUAAUUUUUUAAUGACUCGUUUGGCACCUUACGGGAAACCAAAGUGUUUGGGUUC
rnacentral:rRNA from 1 species